AAGCGAACACGUGAGUGCAAGCAAAUCUCAAAAAUAACGUCUCAGUUCGGAUUGUAGUCUGCAACUCGACUACAUGAAGCUGGAAUCGCUAGUAAUCGCGAAUCAGAAUAUCGCGGUGAAUACGUUCCCGGGCCUUGUACACACCGCCCGUCAAGCCAUGGGAGCCGGGAGUGCCUGAAGUACGUGACCGCAAGGAGCGUCCUAGGGUAAGACCGGUGACUGGGGCUAAGUCGUAACAAGGUAAC
rnacentral:rRNA from 1 species